UAGGGAAUCUUCGGCAAUGGGGGCAACCCUGACCGAGCAACGCCGCGUGAGUGAAGAAGGUUUUCGGAUCGUAAAGCUCUGUUGUAAGAGAAGAACGUGUGUGAGAGUGGAAAGUUCACAAAGUGACGGUAACUUACCAGAAAGGGACGGCUAACUACGUGCCAGCAGCCGCGGUAAUACGUAGGUCCCGAGCGUUGUCCGGAUUUAUUGGGCGUAAAGCGAGCGCAGGCGGUUUAAUAAGUCUGAAGUUAAAGGCAGUGGCUUAACCAUUGUUCGCUUUGGAAACUGUUAAACUUGAGUGCAGAAGGGGAGAGUGGAAUUCCAUGUGUAGCGGUGAAAUGCGUAGAUAUAUGGAGGAACACCGGUGGCGAAAGCGGCUCUCUGGUCUGUAACUGACGCUGAGGCUCGAAAGCGUGGGGAGCAAACAGG
rnacentral:rRNA from 1 species